rfam:Daphnia magna strain Xinb3 scaffold03102, whole genome shotgun sequence.
GUACUCUGGUUUCCGAUCAACACCCGGAUAAAUCUUUCGCCUUUUACUAAAGAUUUCCGUGGUCGGGAGCAACUGAUGAGUCUAUGACUCAAUUUUUGAAUUGUGUCUUCUUACGAAGGCACA